AUGCCGACUCGGGGACGCUUCGUAUGUCAUGUGCACUGCCUUGUACAUGAUGGUGCUGUACGAUCGAGCCCGUGUAGGCCCCACCCCGAAAACUUCGGACGAAAUCUCUAUCAUAUGUUUGUUCCGGCUUAUUCUGCAAGCCAGUCCUUUGGUUUUGUUUUGAGUUGUGGUAUUCGAGUUGCUUCAAUGUCAAGUGUUGAUUCCAUACCUUUCCCAAAUGGUGUUCACAUGCUCCGAUGUGGAUACCAAUCCUUCUCGACAAUCAAGAUUGUCAUGUCAAUCCUUUUCAACUGGCGUGUCUUCUCUUCAAGUGGAUUCGAUCAUUUCAACAACCGCAAGAUCAAGUAUCAGUUCUUCUUAACCGUGUUUGUUUCAUCCGUCUCCAAAUUGUCUUUGUUUUUCCCACCCUCCCUCCCUUUGUUUUUCUCCAAGGAUUCAGAUAUCUUAAUCAUGUAUCCUUUUAUUGAUGGGAAGUCUCUCCAUUCUUUUCCGUCAAUGUUCUUAUCCGGUGACUCUCAAGAAGAUACUAACGGAGCUCCAAGUUCAUCACUCUUCAUUCUCGUUUUGUUCUCCGGCGGAUUUACCUCAAGCUUUCGGUGUUGA
rnacentral:rRNA from 1 species